rnacentral:rRNA from 1 species
UACGAAGGGGGCUAGCGUUGCUCGGAAUCACUGGGCGUAAAGGGGUGCGAGUAGGCGGGUCUUUAAGUCAGGGGUGAAAUCCUGGAGCUCAACUCCAGAACUGCCUUUGAUACUGAGGAUCUUGAGUACGGGAGAGGUGAGUGGAACUGCGAGUGUAGAGGUGAAAUUCGUAGAUAUUCGCAAGAACACCAGUGGCGAAGGCGGCUCACUG